rnacentral:rRNA from 1 species
GACGAACGCUGGCGGCGUGCUUAACACAUGCAAGUCGAACGGAAAGGCCCUGCUUUUGUGGGGUGCUCGAGUGGCGAACGGGUGAGUAACACGUGAGUAACCUGCCCUUGACUUUGGGAUAACUUCAGGAAACUGGGGCUAAUACCGGAUAGGAGCUCCUGCUGCAUGGUGGGGGUUGGAAAGUUUCGGCGGUUGGGGAUGGACUCGCGGCUUAUCAGCUUGUUGGUGGGGUAGUGGCUUACCAAGGCUUUGACGGGUAGCCGGCCUGAGAGGGUGACCGGCCACAUUGGGACUGAGAUACGGCCCAGACUCCUACGGGAGGCAGCGGUGGGGAAUAUUGCACAAUGGGCGGAAGCCUGAUGCAGCAACGCCGCGUGCGGGAUGACGGCCUUCGGGCGGUAAACCGCUUUCGCCUGUGACGAAGCGUGAGUGACGGUAAUGGGUAAAGAAGCACCGGCUAACUACGU